rnacentral:rRNA from 1 species
AUUGAACGCUGGCGGAAUGCUUUACACAUGCAAGUCGAGCGGCAGCACGGGGGCAACCCUGGUGGCGAGCGGCGAACGGGUGAGUAAUACAUCGGAACGUACCCUGUCGUGGGGGAUAACUAUCCGAAAGGAUAGCUAAUACCGCAUACGAACUGAGGGUGAAAGCGGGGGAUCGCAAGACCUCGCGCGAUAGGAGCGGCCGAUGUCGGAUUAGCGAGUUGGUGGGGUGAAGGCCUACCAAGGCGACGAUCCGUAGCUGGUCUGAGAGGAUGAUCAGCCACACUGGGAGUGAGACACGGCGCAGACUCCGACGGGAGGCAGCAGUGGGGAAUUUUGGACAAUGGGCGCAAGCCUGAUCCAGCCAUUCCGCGUGAGUGAAGAAGGCGUUCGGGUUGUAAAGCUCUUUCGGCAGGAACGAAACGGUGGGGGCUAAUAUCCCUUGCUAAUGACGGUACCUGAAGAAGAAGCACCGGCUAACUACGUGCCAGCAGCCGCGGUAAAAC